rnacentral:sRNA from 1 species
UUCCUUUUAAUGGGAAGCUACCCCUUCCCUAAGUAGCUUCUCAGUGCUGAGCUCCAAGGUAGCCUGGGCUAAUGGGUGUGUGAGGCCAAGAAAAAGGGAGCUGGAAGCUGAAUCAGCCAAGGCCUGUGCCCAGCCAGGAGCCCUGAUCUCCAAGGGGAAAAGCGGUGCUCAGAAAGGCCGGAGCGUGGGCCAUGUGUCCUUCAAGCCCAGCUUAGACCAACAGCGUUCAUGCCCAACCUGUACAGACUCCCUCCUCAAUGGAGAUUUCACUAUCACCUAUGACGUGAACAGAGAAUCUCCUGGCAACGUGCAGAUAGUCAAUGGCUACUUCGUGCACUUCUUUGCACCUCAAGGCCUUCCAGUGGUGCCUAAGAACGUGGCCUUUGUGAUUGACAUCAGUGGCUCCAUGGCUGGUCGGAAAUUAGAGCAGACAAAGGAGGCCCUUCUCAGAAUCCUGGAAGAUAUGAAAGAGGAAGACUAUCUGAAUUUCAUCCUGUUCAGUGGAGAUGUGUCCACAUGGAAAGAACACUUAGUCCAGGCCACGCCCGAGAACCUCCAGGAGGCCAGGACGUUUGUGAAGAGCAUGGAGGAUAAAGGAAUGACCAACAUCAAUGACGGGCUGCUGAGGGGCAUCAGUAUGCUGAACAAGGCCCGAGAGGAGCACAGAAUCCCAGAGAGGAGCACCUCCAUUGUCAUCAUGCUGACUGAUGGGGAUGCCAAUGUUGGUGAGAGCAGACCCGAAAAAAUCCAAGAGAAUGUGCGGAAUGCCAUCGGGGGCAAGUUCCCCUUGUAUAACCUGGGCUUUGGCAACAAUCUGAAUUAUA